UACAUGUAGACCUUAAGAGGCGGCCCGGUAGCACAGACGGAAGGUGCAACUGCCGGUGACUGCUGCAGGAGGGGGAAGAAGUAUGAUCUGAUAUCGAUAGUCCCGAUGAAGAUGGAGUAAGAGAAGAGCAGAAGAAAGAUGAAUACCAUAGAGAGAAUCACUUUUCCAUACAUUUUGGAGAUCUUUAGGCCUCGCCGUUGCCGUUGCCGUUGCUGUUGCGGUUACCGUUGUCGUUUUGGCUGCAACAAGCAACUGUUCGUCCACUCAUUUUAAGG
rnacentral:misc_RNA from 1 species